GGGGUUCCGUGGAAUAUACGGUCGGCAUCGGCUGCAGGCAAUUCGGUGCCUGGAGGAACCACCGCCCGGCGGGGCUCAGGGACCGCAAGAGGGAUUGCUUCAACGGGAGGAAGCUCCUCCGAGGUCGGAGCAUCGUAACUGGAACCUGAAGAGGACGAACUCCCAGACCGGCUGCCUUCGCUAUCACUCGCCACUCUACCGCCACCGCCACCGCGACCCGACGACUCCAGAGAAGACUCGAUGGUAACAAUAAAAUCCAUUUUAUUACCUGGG
rnacentral:lncRNA from 1 species